GGUGAACGCUGACAGAAUGCUUAACACAUGCAAGUCAACUUGAAUUUGGGUUUUUAACUUAGGUUUGGGUGGCGGACGGGUGAGUAACGCGUAAAGAACUUGCCUCACAGCUAGGGACAACAUUUGGAAACGAAUGCUAAUACCUAAUAUUAUGAUAAUAGGGCAUCCUAUAAUUAUGAAAGCUAUAAGCGCUGUGAGAGAGCUUUGCGUCCCAUUAGCUAGUUGGAGAGGUAACGGCUCACCAAGGCGAUGAUGGGUAGCCGGCCUGAGAGGGUGAUCGGCCACAAGGGGACUGAGACACGGCCCUUACUCCUACGGGAGGCAGCAGUGGGGAAUAUUGGACAAUGGACCGAGAGUCUGAUCCAGCAAUUCUGUGUGCACGAUGAAGUUUUUCGGAAUGUAAAGUGCUUUCAGUUGGGAAGAAACAAAUGACGGUACCAACAGAAGAAGUGACGGCUAAAUACGU
rnacentral:rRNA from 1 species